CAAUGUUGUUAUGCCAGAAAUAGUGCAGGCAUUGGUAUAGUGAAUCCAGAAACCAGCUUGACGAUAGGCAAAAAGGGAUUGAUACCCCUUAGAGAUUGGCAGCUGGUCGAACACUUAGGACACUUUCACAGGGAACGUAUUCCUGAAAGAAUAGUGCAUGCCAAAGGCGCUGGUGCAUUUGGGGAUUUUAUCUGCACAGAUUCUUUGGAAGAAUUCACCAGUUCUAAAGUGUUUGUAAAAGGGAAAAUAACAAAAAUAGCAGUGCGAUUUUCAACAGUUGCUGGUAAUAUGGGAUCUG